GCCGCCCCACACGUCCGACGCCGGGAUAGCGGCGGCGACAAUCCCCGGUGCCCCUUCUAACACAACCGAACCCGCCUCCCAACCCCAUUGGCUCGAGUCGGAUCCCCGCUUUAUUCCUAUUGGAUGCCAGCGCCGUCUAUCCCAGCCCAUCCUCAUGCCAGAGGCUGAUGGUGCUGCCGAUCUAGCGAAAUCCCCGCCCUCUGUUAUUCUAAGCCCGCGAUGAUUGGCUGAGAGAGGCAGGCCAAGAGACAGAAUCUUGUAGAAAUCGAAGGGGCGGAGCCGUGUACUACGGGAAGACUUGAGGCCCAAUCGUGGCUGGCGGAAGGAGCGCCUGUGCCCUGGAGGACCGCCAGAGGGAGCCGGAACCUCCGCGCAGCACACUGCUCCAAUCUCGGCCCUGCUACUGAGAAACAUCUCAUAACUCCUACGAGAUUUGACAGAGCUGCAGACACUGAAAACGAUAGUAACUACUGUUUGUGAAAACUCAUUAAGAAAUCUGGUUGGCAGACACUACCAAUCAACUAAAGAUGGCCCCAGAGAUAAAAAUCUUUUUGCCAUCAUCGAAUGGCACAAUUCUGCCUCCCAGAGUGGAUGAAAGAGCAUCAAGAAGCAGCUCAGCUGGGAUCUGCACAGCAAGAAUGCACAGCUAACCCCUUGUCCUCCAGACCUGUGUAUCCUCCCUUCCAUUUCUACCGUGGGCGCUUUGGGUACCCAUGAAGUGCUGGGAUGAGGGUGGGGAGGGGGCCCGGGGAGACCACUCUACCUGUUUUCACUGCCCUGCCCCAGGGUCGCACUUACACAGGUUCAGGGGGGCCAUGUCUUCCCGCGGUGCUGCCCAGGGACCCUCGGAUGGGUGAGGCUCCCCAUGAAGGGCCCCUGGCAGCAUCUCCCGUUUGAU